UACGUAGGUGGCAAGCGUUGUCCGGAUUUACUGGGCGUAAAGAGCGCGCAGGCGGUCGUAUAAGUCGAAUGUGAAAGCCCCCGGCUCAACUGGGGAGGGUCAUUCGAUACUGUUCGACUCGAAGGCAGGAGAGGGAAGUGGAAUUCCGGGUGUAGUGGUGAAAUGCGUAGAUAUCAGGAGGAACACCGGUGGCGAAGGCGGGUCUCUGGGCCGAUACUGACGCUGAGGAGCGAAAGCGUGGGGAGCGAACAGG
rnacentral:rRNA from 1 species